UACGAAGGGGGCUAGCGUUGUUCGGAUUUACUGGGCGUAAAGCGCACGUAGGCGGAUCUUUAAGUCAGAGGUGAAAUCCCAAGGCUCAACCUUGGAACUGCCUUUGAUAUUGGGGAUCUUGAGUCCGGGAGAGGUGAGUGGAACUGCGAGUGUAGAGGUGAAAUUCGUAGAUAUUCGCAAGAACACCAGUGGCGAAGGCGGCUCACUGGCCCGGUACUGACGCUGAGGUGCGAAAGCGUGGGGAGCAAACAGG
rnacentral:rRNA from 1 species